CAUGCAAGUCGUGGGGCAGCAGGAGCGUAGCAAUACGCUCGCUGGCGACCGGCAAACGGGUGCGGAACACGUACACAACCUUUCCUUAAAGUGGGGAAUAGCCCGGGGAAACCCGGAUUAAUACCCCGUAACAUAAUGAAGUGGCAUCGCUUUAUUAUUAUAGCAGCAAUGCGCUUAAAGAUGGGUGCGCGACUGAUUAGGCAGUUGGCGGGGUAACGGCCCACCAAACCUACGAUCAGUAACUGGUGUGAGAGCACGACCAGUCACACGGGCACUGAGACACGGGCCCGACUCCUACGGGAGGCAGCAGUAAGGAAUAUUGGUCAAUGGACGCAAGUCUGAACCAGCCAUGCCGCGUGGAGGAUGAAGGUCCUCUGGAUUGUAAACUUCUUUUAUCUGGGAAGAAACCCACAAAUUCUUUUGUGGUUGACGGUACCAGAUGAAUAAGCACCGGCUAACUCCGUGCCAGCAGCCGCGGUAAUACGGAGGGUGCAAGCGUUAUCCGGAUUCACUGGGUUUAAAGGGUGCGUAGGUGGGUUGGUAAGUCAGUGGUGAAAUCUCCAGGCUUAACUUGGAAACUGCCAUUGAUACUAUCAAUCUUGAAUACCGUGGAGGUCAGCGGAAUAUGUCAUGUAGCGGUGAAAUGCUUAGAGAUGACAUAGAACACCAAUUGCGAAGGCAGCUGGCUACGCGGAUAUUGACACUGAUGCACGAAAGCGUGGGGAUCAAACAGGAUUAGAUACCCUGGUAGUCCACGCCCUAAACGAUGGAUACUCGACAUACGCGAUAUAC
rnacentral:rRNA from 1 species